rnacentral:lncRNA from 1 species
GCGCAGCAGUCCCCCACUGGGGUGCUGGGACCGCCCCUCGGGUGGGCGGACGGCUUUAGCUUCCUACCCCGGGUUGUGACCGGGUGGGGUCACAUAAGUUCAGGUCCACGCCCUGCUCGGUGCCGGCGCCAGGAGAGCCAGGAAGACGCGGCCCGGCUUGCGGGGGGUAGAGGGACACACUUGCGCUGCGGGACCAGUCUCCUGAGGCUGCACGGGUCAAUGACAUGAGGAAGACCGAAGGAGGCUGCUGGGUGUGGACACAAAGAGAUGGAGCAGACGCUUAUGGGCUCCUUCAUCCUUCCAGAACAGACUCUCCAAGCAAAGUCUAAACCAGUCACAUUGAAGCUCCUAGGGUUACUUCAUUAAUAAUAUUUCAG